rnacentral:rRNA from 1 species
AAAGUUUGAUCCUGGCUUAGGACGAACGCUGGCGGCGUGCUUAACACAUGCAAGUCGAGCGAUGAAGCUUCUUCGGAAGUGGAUUAGCGGCGGACGGGUGAGUAACACGUGGGUAACCUGCCUCAUAGAGGGGAAUAGCCUUCCGAAAGGAAGAUUAAUACCGCAUAAGAUUGUAAUAUCGCAUGAUAUAGCAAUUAAAGGAGUAAUCCGCUAUGAGACGGACCCGCGUCGCAUUAGCUAGUUGGUGAGGUAACGGCUCACCAAGGCGACGAUGCGUAGCCGACCUGAGAGGGUGAUCGGCCACAUUGGGACUGAGACACGGCCCAGACUCCUACGGGAGGCAGCAGUGGGAAUAUUGCACAAUGGGGGAAACCCUGAUGCAGCCAACGCCGCGUGAGUGAUGACGGUCUUCGGAUUGUAAAGCUCUGUCUUCAGGGACGAUAAUGACGGUACCUGAGGAGGAAGCCACGGCUAACUACGUGCCAGCAGCCGC